GACGAACGCUGGCGGCGUGCUUAACACAUGCAAGUCGAACGGAAAGGCCCUGCUUUUGUGGGGUGCUCGAGUGGCGAACGGGUGAGUAACACGUGAGUAACCUGCCCUUGACUUUGGGAUAACUUCAGGAAACUGGGGCUAAUACCGGAUAGGAGCUCCUGCUGCAUGGUGGGGGUUGGAAAGUUUCGGCGGUUGGGGAUGGACUCGCGGCUUAUCAGCUUGUUGGUGGGGUAGUGGCUUACCAAGGCUUUGACGGGUAGCCGGCCUGAGAGGGUGACCGGCCACAUUGAGACUGAGAUACGGCCCAGACUCCUACGGGAGGCAGCAGUGGGGAAUAAUGAAGAAUGGGCGGAAGCCUGAUGCAGCAACGCCGCGUGCGGGAUGACGGCCUUCGGGUUGUAAACCGCUUUAGCCUGUGACGAAGCGUGAGUGACGGUAAUGGGUAAAGAAGCACCGGCUAGCUACGUG
rnacentral:rRNA from 1 species